UGAGCGUUAAAUAAACACCAUUGCUGGAGUUCAGCUUUCGCAAGAGCCGGCGUGCUGACCCGUAAGGACAGCGCUGUGUCAUCACACCGGGGGCUCUGCGGGGAGAAGGGUGACAGCAUUUUUCCGUCCGGAUGUCCCUGCUCCUUUUUACUCACUGGGUGGUGGGCACAGCAUCUGCUGAAUCCCCAGCCAUGAGGGCCAAGGCAGACAUGGAACUGGACAUGUGGCCAGUCCAAGAGCAGAUGAGCCUGAGGAGAGGCCACGUAGAAACAGGACCCUCUGACUUUGAGUUCCCAUUGCACUGACCCGGAAAUAGCACCCAGGUGAGUCCAGGGCCAUCCUGAGCUGGGAGGAUUCACAGAGUCACCAAGGACAACCGGGAAUUGGGCACUCGGUCCAUGAACGCUGUGUUCAGAUCCAUGAGACUGUGGGUGGAAUUUUAUUGAAAAGGUCUUUUCAGGAGAGAAACCCAUAAGCUGACUUAAUGCCUUUGCUAAUUUUCACAUAGUACAGUUACGACAUCUUGAUUUUAAUUAAACAGUUG
rnacentral:lncRNA from 1 species